GUUUCAACAUGAAGGUUUGUAAUAAAAAUUUGUUUCUAUCAGCAUUGCUUUGCAUUGCUAUUGCAGGAGUUUUGGGUCAAGCUCCUAGUAAUCCUCCUACGUCUACGCCGGCGCCACCCACACCACCGGCUUCUACUCCUCCUCCGACGACUCAACCACCGCCUACACCAACCGCCACUCCGCCACCAGUUUCUACUCCUCUUCCCACUUCAUCACCGCCCCCAGUGACAGCUUCUCCACCCCCAGUUUCAACUCCUCCACCCAGUUCUCCUCCUCCCGCAACUCCACCACCUGCUUCUCCACCUCCUGCAACUCCACCUCCAGCUUCUCCACCUCCUGCAACUCCACCUCCAGCUUCUCCACCUCCCGCCACUCCUCCACCAGCAACCCCCCCACCUGCAACUCCUCCUGCUACCCCACCACCAGCUCCAUUGGCUUCUCCUCCAGCCACAGUCCCAGCUAUCUCUCCAGUACAAACACCAUUGACCUCGCCACCAGCUCCGCCGACCGAGGCCCCAGCACC
rnacentral:lncRNA from 1 species